UAAAAACUUUCAACAACGGAUCUCUUGGUUCUGGCAUCGAUGAAGAACGCAGCGAAAUGCGAUAAGUAAUGCGAAUUGCAGAAUUCCGUGAGUCAUCGAAUCUUUGAACGCACAUUGCGCCCCUUGGUAUUCCGAAGGGCAUGCCUGUUCGAGCGUCAUUA
rnacentral:rRNA from 1 species